GCAAGGGGAAGGAGCGGGAUGAGCGAACUGCGGAGUGUCCCGCUGUGUACUAUAGAAAGGAGGAGCGGAGAGACGCGCGCUGCACAGGCUGCACCGCAGCACAAAGAGUUCUCUGUUUUUACUGAAGAAAAAUAUCCCCUACGCAUGAUGCUGCCACCAUCGUUCUGUGAGGAAAGGUGCAUCCAUGAUUCUUCCAUCCAAGCUGUGGAUCUCUGCAGCUCCUCCAGAGUUACCAUGAGGUGGUUCUCUAAUGCCCCCGUUGCCUGGCUUGUCAGUUUCGGUGGACCGCCAUAGAUUUGUCUUGUAUCAUACACUUAAAAAAAAAUCUAAGGUUCCCAAAGAUUUGGAUUUUGUUUUUAUGCACCAAACAUUAUUUUGAACUUAUCCACAACUUUACUCGUGGCUCAUCUAUUGUAUUAUUUGGUCUUUGUGAUGCUGUUUCCUCAAAAUGAUGUGAUUCUUUAUGUUUGUCUGUCCCAUUAACCCCCCCCAACUCUUUAUAUUCUAUCUAUGCAUCUACGUUCUUCAGUUUGAAUGGAUACCAGCACAUACAGUAGGUAUCCUAGCAUAAAUGUCAACUGAAGAUUUUUUUCCACACCUCAGCAGUUUUGCUGAAAUUUGAUUACACAUUGCAUAUGUGUAAUUGAUUUGCCUUCCAUGUUCCUUCUUUCCUUUGACAAACAAUCAAUAAGACUGCAUUGACUAAACCAGCCCUUUGUAUUCGUGAUGUCCUAAACCCCACGGGCACUGCAUGUUUGGAAGGUCACUAUUUUGUGGCUCACGAUCAGCUUCUGGUGAUUAAAGGUCACCUACAGCAUAUGUAACUUUAUUACUUAUAUUACCAGGUGUUAGAAAGAGAUGUGAUGUGGAUAUUAAAUUUCCUCUGUGAUCCGGAACAUAAUUUAACAUGACAGCACCCAGUUCUAGGAAAAGGGUAGCCAUCUCGACCCCCCGAUAGUGAAAUUUAAGAUAUUAACAAAACUGCUGAUGAAACAGUUGUUCAUUAGGCGACAGAGAGAUUAUUAGGGGUAAUUGCUUGUGUCUAUUCUCAUUAAUUUUCAUUAUCAACCUGGCAGCCAAUCAGGCAAUCCCCUGAGUCAGGAUAUACCAGAUUGCUCUGAUGUUUCACUGGAAAUGAUCACCAAAGUGAGCAUGGCAGCCUCUGUUGCACUCGGAGCGUGCAGCGUGGGACAUGCUUGCAGUAGAUGCCUCCCUCCUCUGUGGAUGUCAGCCUGCAUGCACUGGUUCUCCAGAGAGUUGAAGGCAGCUUGCAUCUUCUUUCCAUGUGGGUGGAAUAACUCUAUUUACCAGCGUGAUAUCUAUAAUUAAUAUCUUAGCAAUGGAUCAGAAUAAUUGUAAUAUGUUGUUUUAUUCCCAGAAUGUUUGAAAGGAUGAAGAUGUUAAUUUUUUUUGUCAUUUCCAUGUAUUAUGUGGGCAUGUGAGCUUGAGUGGGUUGUUCUACAGCUACCCAAAUAGUAGCAUAAUGUUCAAGAGGCAAAUUUGACCGGAGAGCCAGAUAAAGUUUAAUAUCCGGUUGGCUAAAUCAGCUAGCCGACAGUUUCACAGUUAUUCCGACUGAUUUAGAAUGACUGAAUCAGCUGGGGGGUUUUUUUGUUUUCAAUUAACCUCCAGUGGCCUCGUAAGUCCAACAAGUGUUAAAAUCAUUAAACUUAAGUUUAAAUAGCAUGAAAGUUCAAUAAAGAUGAGAAUGUAUGGAUGGACAUCGGUUCUGUACAACUUGCAAUGCUUAGGCAGGGGGAUUUAGAUUAGGAAUAGCUGUACAGUUACAUUUAAUAUUGCUGAUGAGGGCCGGCCGAGAGGAAAACUUUGAAUGUGCAGAAGUGGUUCUGUGAGGGUUUUAUUAACUGUCCGGCAACAGUGUUUUAUCUGUAGUAGGCAACCAGCAUGCUAAAUGUGGAGGUGUGGCGUGAGCAAUGUUCAAAAUUAAAACUUGGUGACUGUCUUAAAGGACUAGUUUAGUUAUUAGGGGAGACUAAUUAACUUGUUUCCAUUGUUGUAAAAAAAACAGAAAAGUUUAAUGGACAAAAUAUUUCAUUGUUAUAUCAAAGGCCAUACACCAUUCUUGUGAAACCUGGAACAUUUUUUCCCGUGUUUUUUAAUUUAUUUCCCGUCUUCUUCCCCUUCCCCUCUUCUUCUUUUCUCUAUGUUAUUUUAUGUAUUUAAAUUCACCUAUUUAACUGUUUUUGUCAGUGUUGCCAGUUCCAUUUUGAUUUUGUGACCUCUGGUGUUCAGAUGGUAAUUUCUUCAAUCAACUUGUUAACAUAGAAAAGGGUCUUAUGAUAUAAGAAAAAAAUAACCCUAAUGAAGGCCAAGCUUGCUUGCAGUCGUUAAAGGUCAAGGUUAUUUUGUCUUGAAUUGUUAUACAAUAGAAAAUAAUUGUAAAUAUUUUCCACUUCAUUCAUUUUGUCUAUUGGAUACGUUUUUGGCUACUUGCUUUUUUGUAUUUACUGAAUUUCUUUUUUCUUGCUGAAAAUAGGAAGCCUCAUACAUUUGAGAGAUGUUGGACUUUGACAGGAGUUCACUGUGAAGCAUACUUGUUGUUUUAGAGCCAGUAGGCACAGCAUAUCUAUCAAAAUGCUCCUGACCAUGCAGAAAGCAACCGGUCAAUGUGAAACAGAUCUCCUUUGCAAAUGUCACACUUCUCUCUGGACCACAGCACCUAAUCAUAAUUUUAUCUCCCUUGUUUUUUUCUGUUUCUCUGACUCACUUUAGCAGUUCAAGUUUUAUAUCUGUCUUUUGAGAAAACAAAGCAUUAUUAUUGCUUAAUAUUAGAUCCAAGCUAUACAAACAAACAUUGCCAUCAUCUGCCAAUUAUAAACUGCCUGGUUUGGUGCCUGUGAUCUAAAUGACAUAAUAUCUUAAGUUUGUUUGAAGUUAUGUAAAAUAUGUACAGCUGAGUAGAAAUCAGAAACAUUUGGAACAUGAACACUUUCAUGAUGUCCUUCUUGGUUCAGUGUGUUGUGCUCAGUGUGGUUCGUCUUAGCUGUGCUUGAGAUCAGCCUGAGGCUCUUUACCUGGGGAUUUUGCCUUUGGGUUUUUCUCCUACAGUUCUGUGUGUUGAAGCAAUCUUUAAAGGUAUUGUACAACCCUUUUCAUUCCACUAGAAAUUGGAACCAGGCUGUACCAUUUCUGAGAAGUUUCUUGUUGAUAGUUUUGGUUUUUACUGAAAGUUUAAUGCUUGCAGAAAGUUGGAAAAACAUAUUUCCUUGGUCCGAACCAUUUAUAUUAGGGGAAAAACAGCUGAAGUAAUUAAGUGUUCAAACAACUCAGUGACAAAUGAUUGUUUUGUGUUUCUUAUUUUACAUAAAAGUAUUUUUGAUAUCAGUACUAAUGAGUACUAUGUUCUUGUGUGAAGGUUGGUUUGUUUGGAGCAGGACCAAAAUGGAGGCUGCGGGAGGGAAUUGCUAUGUGGGCCAUGUUUAAAUAAAUAAAAUUCUAUUGAAAGUUGCCUAUUAAUGUUAAGACAAGAUGAAGAAAUGUUUUAAUACAGAAAUGCUUGCUUUUGCAACAAUUGGGAACACUUGACCUGAAAGAUGUCCGGCAAUGAUUGAGAACUGUCAAAAGGGACAGCCACAAAUGGCUAGCCACAAACUGGCUGUUCACAAAGUGCUCUGUCCAGGCACAUUAGUGGAAAUAAAAAAACAUGUGGUACUAAAUGAUCCCCAAGAUGCAGGAAUAACCACAGUCUUGACAGGACUGUGAAACAAGGAUAAUUCUUUCAUGUUUUGUUGAAGGACCCAAAAGCUGUCAAAACAAGUAAAAUGUGUAUUUAAUGGAUAGCAGUCCAAAAUGGAGCCACCGGGGGUUUCACAGAAACCAGGAAUAUUUGAAGAAAAAUGGAAACCCACACUCUUUCCUUCCACCUAACUUUCUAUUGGGCUACAUCAUCAGUGACCUUAUGUAAUUAGUUUUCUCUGUGAAAACUGUGACAUCAGCUGAUUUUUGUAUUUUUAUGAUUUACGAGAGAUAAUCAUCAAGAUUAACUGGAAUAAUUGCUUGAAAUAUUUUACUCUGUGUGCCUUCUGUAUGUUUAGAAAAUAUGUUUUAUUUUAUUAUUAUUUACAGAAAUAGAUAAACCGUUUCGUCAACAUUUUAAUGUGUUCACAUGCACCUGAAAAGCUGCAUUGGUCAUUGAUUGGGGUCUUAACCAGGUUUUUAUUUGCUCAUGACAAGAAAUAUAGUCCAAAUAGUCCUGUAUAUAAAGUAAAUUUGGAACAAAACAACUGAAUGCUGGAAUUAACUGUGAGCUUCUACAGGGGUGGAAGAGCAAAAGUCAAAGUGAUUUAAAUAACAAGUAGCAUUCAAUCGAUGUGGAAUACCAUUCUAUGAAUGGAAUACUUAAAUUGAUUUGAAUGAUUCUAAUUAAAAUAACACAUGGUUGAAGAAUAUAUUGAUUUCCCUCACAUGGAAA